rnacentral:rRNA from 1 species
UACGUAGGACCCAAGCGUUAUCCGGAAUUACUGGGCGUAAAGAGUUGCGUAGGUGGCAGAGUAAGUAGAUAGUGAAAUCGUGUGGCUCAACCAUACACACAUUAUCUAAACUGCUCAGCUUGAGGACGAGAGAGGUACUUGGAAUUCCCAGUGUAGGAGUGAAAUCCGUAGAUAUUGGGAGGAACACCGAUGGCGUAGGCAGAGUACUGGCUUGUUCCUGACACUAAGGCACGAAAGCGUGGGGAGCGAACGGG